rnacentral:rRNA from 1 species
GACGAACGCUGGCGGCGUGCUUAACACAUGCAAGUCGAGCGGUAAGGCCCUUUCGGGGGUACACGAGCGGCGAACGGGUGAGUAACACGUGGGUGACCUGCCCUCAGCUCUGGGAUAAGCCUGGGAAACCGGGUCUAAUACUGGAUAUGACUCCAUGACGCAUGUUGUGGGGUGGAAAGCCUUGUGCGGCUGAGGAUGGGCCCGCGGCCUAUCAGCUUGUUGGGGGGUGAUGGCCUACCAAGGCGACGACGGGUAGCCGGCCUGAGAGGGCGACCGGCCACACUGGGACUGAGACACGGCCCAGACUCCUACGGGAGGCAGCAGUGGGGAAUCUUGCGCAAUGGGCGAAAGCCUGACGCAGCGACGCCGCGUGAGGGAUGACGGCC